rnacentral:lncRNA from 1 species
UUACAGAUGUAGGUAUUCCAGACUACUUCAACAGCCUUUGUGCCUUCUGGGAAGAUAAUGUUCUGCACCAGUUCUGCUGUCCGCCUUCGGGGUCUAGUAGUCCAUCUUCAAGAUAACAGAGAAGCUCGGGGUCGCUAAGUGUGCAGUCAGUGCUACAUCUGUGUAGUCCAUCUCUCCUCUUCUCUCUUACUGGUGUGUAUGGGACUGAAACUUGCAUGGAUGCCAUAGGAUUCUUGUUCAUAUCAAGUUUGAGUUAUUCAGAAUGUCACAGUCAUAAAUUUUUGCCAUCAAUACUUGGUAAUCCCUUCUCCAUGUUCUUCUACAGCUCUCCUCCAUGUGUCCAGUAUUGAAAACCA